AAGAGACAGCAGUAGCCGCGGGAAUACAGAGGGUGCGAGCGUUAAUCGGAUUUACUGGGCGUAAAGCGUGCGUAGGCGGCUUUUUAAGUCGGAUGUGAAAUCCCUGAGCUUAACUUAGGAAUUGCAUUCGAUACUGGGAAGCUAGAGUAUGGGAGAGGAUGGUAGAAUUCCAGGUGUAGCGGUGAAAUGCGUAGAGAUCUGGAGGAAUACCGAUGGCGAAGGCAGCCAUCUGGCCUAAUACUGACGCUGAGGUACGAAAGCAUGGGGAGCAAACAGGAUUAGAUACCCCUGUAGUCCCUGUCUCUUAUAU
rnacentral:rRNA from 1 species